rnacentral:rRNA from 1 species
UACAGAGGUCUCAAGCGUUUGUUCGGAUUCAUUGGGCGUAAAGGGUGUGUAGGUGGCGCGCUAAGUCGGGUGUGAAAUUUCGGAGCUUAACUCCGAAACUGCAUUCGAUACUGGCGUGCUUGAGGACUGGAGAGGAGACUGGAAUUCAUGGUGUAGCAGUGAAAUGCGUAGAGAUCAUGAGGAAGACCAGUGGCGAAGGCGGGUCUCUGGACAGUUCCUGACACUGAGACACGAAGGCCAGGGGGAGCAAACGGG